rnacentral:piRNA from 1 species
UUGUUUCUGUAAAUGAAUCAGCAGCUGUUC